rnacentral:lncRNA from 10 species
CGGAUCGCAAGGGGAAAAGACCCCGGAAGUACGCCAAAGUAUAAAACCUCAGGUUAAAAGAUCAUAUGAAGUGUGCGUAUGGUACCUAUUGGAGCUAUCUUGAGCCCAUAUAAAGAGUAAGCUUUAGAAUGACGGCGACUCACAGAGAAAGCUAAGAAUCAUCAGAAAAUGAAAAUCGAUACGGCACUGUGUGCUAAUGGGCUGCCCACUCCUUCCUGAAACUACAAACUUGGAGGUCAUGUGUUGAGAUGGCAAGAACAAGAUGGAGGCAACUUGGAUCCUAGAGGAACAAGAUUGAGGAGAAUGUGCCCCUUUCCUCCUACCAGCCCAUGUUUAAUUGGGCAUAAGGUUUUGAUGUUCAACGUUUCAUGCAAGUUCAAAAAACUUGAUUCUGGUAGCAAAAUUAUAGCAGGAAGAGGAAGCAGGACACCAGAGGCUUUUCUUUUCAUGGUGAGUGUCAAACUGAAGCAUAGCCAUCCGUACUUUUUAAUGGAAUGAACAAGCUGUGCUCUCUAAAAACCAGAAUAACUAUUAAUAUCAUCAUCAGCUAUGGAAAUACAGUGGCAGAAUGUGUUAUGUCCCUAGCAACAAUCCUUUUUCUCCUCAGAACUCACCUUGCUUACAUCAUUUCUCACCUUAAGAAAUCAAUUAAUUCGAAGACUUCCUCCACCUAUCCCACUCUAAGACUUAAGAGUCUAAGAGAUAAACAAUACAAUUUGUUCUCUCAUUUUCUCUACAGAGACCUCCUAUUCAGAAUUGGGUUUGGGCUCUGCCUUGCCUCAGGAAGUUAAUAAAAUUCAC